GCUUACGGCCACACACCGGCCUGAGUACGCCCGAUCUCGCCUGAUCUCGGAAGCUAAGCAGGGUCGGGCCUGGUUAGUACUUGGAUGGGAGACCGCCUGGGAAUACCAGGUGCUGUAAGCU
ensembl:rRNA 5S_rRNA 5S ribosomal RNA